GCCAACACGAGGCAUUUCUAUUGCUCACUCUUUCUCAAGGGCUUCUAGCAUUGCCAGUAACAAAAUGGCAAGCUCGAAGUCUUUGGGGAGAGUGGACAAACGUUGUCUCGAAUAUGC